rnacentral:lncRNA from 10 species
CAGCAGCACAAUUAUGUCCUGCCAUCCACGAUCGGGGUGGCCUUGGUUUCAGGUUCUAUUUCAGGGCCGUUGGUGAGUCUUCACAGUCAAGUCUCUGAAACCUCCGGAGCCUCGGUUUCCACAAAUUCAAAUGGAAAUCAUCAUGUCAGGGAUGUUAUAAAACUGCAGACACAUGAGCAGAACCCAGGAUGGAAGAAUGUAAUCACCAGCGUGACUCCAGUGAUGGAGAUGAACUAGAUGUGGAGACUGGGGAGCAGCAGAGUCAACUCAGUUAUCAUCUUGGCGGCCGGGCUGCCGUCCAGCUCACAGAAGCCACCUGAUCCGGAAAAGAUUUCCAAAGCCUGCUGGAGUAAGUUUGGCAAGCAGCCCUCCCAGUCAGGAGAGCAAAGUCACAUUCCAUCUGG